UCUCAAACUCCUAACCUUGUGAUCCACCCACCUUGACCUCCUAAAGUGCUGGGAUUACAGGCUUGAGCCACCGCGCCCGGCCCUUGCCUCUUUUUAAACUUCACUGUCAGUGUGCCUGACGGUAUUCAGUUUCCUGCAGUGUAAUAGUUUAUGGACUUUGAACCCAGAUUUGUAUAAAUUAUAUGUAAAAUGAGAGUAAACAGAUUUCGGGUGAGAAUCAGGUAAUUUUUUCAAUCAACUUUCUCAGGUUGAAAGCAUUUUUUGUAGCUGGGUGCAGUGGCUCACACCUGUAAUCCCAGCACUUUGGGUGGCUGAUGUGGGUGGAUCACCUGAAGUCAGGAGCUCAAGACCGCCCUAACCAAAAUGGUGGAACCCUGUCUUAAAAAAAAAAAGAAAAAAAAAGCGUUUUUGUAAUUAAGGAAAAAUAUAUAGGCUUUUGCGUAUGAUCUUUGGGGUCUUUUUGGUUGCUUAGAGGCUUUAUAUUUUUUUCUAUUCAGUUUUUAAAUUGAGAUAUAAUUCAUAUACCAUAAAGUUCACCCUUUUUAAAGUGUACAGUUUAGUGGUUUUUAGUGUGUUCACAAAGUCAGGCAACCAUCACCCCUAUGUAAUUGCAGAACAUUUUCAUUCCCCCACAGGAAACCCCACUCCCAUUAGCAGUCACCCUUUAUUCCCCUCUCUGGAUCUCCCCAAGCCCUUGGUAGUCAC